UACGUAGGGUGCGAGCGUUAAUCGGAUUUACGGGGCGUAAAGCGUGCGCAGGCGGCCCGUUAAGACAGGUGUGAAAUCCCUGGGCUCAACCUAGGAAUUGCGCUUGUGACUGGCGGGCUCGAGUACGGUAGAGGGGGGUGGAAUUCCUGGUGUAGCAGUGAAAUGCGUAGAGAUCAGGAGGAACACCGAUGGCGAAGGCAGCCCCCUGGGCCUGUACUGACGCUCAUGCACGAAAGCGUGGGGAGCAAACAGG
rnacentral:rRNA from 1 species